AAGGCAGUUUGUUAAUCAUUAUUCCUUUCCUCUCCGCAUGCAGGUUCUUUGCAAGGCACUGAGAUAUCAAGGCUUGGAUUUUCAGAGGCCCUGAUUUCAGCAAGAGCCGCACUUCUGAAGUUCAAGCCCCAGACUCGUUACGACAGACUAAUCCAAUGGAGGGGAAAAAAAAAACCAAAACAAACCUGCAGAAUGCGGGAGUCAGAUCUUUCUGUGGAAAAAAUGAAGAGGUGAGCUUGUGGCCAAAGCCUUAGAAAUACAGAAGCAAUCAUCCUAAAUCAGCCGUGUCUUAUCUCUGAUGUGGGCCAAGAGCAGAUGUUUCAAAAGAGUUAAGAGGUCAUAGCACAAACAAUACAGAAGAGUCUGCCCAUCAUGAUAGGAGUGGGAAAUAAAAAUCUGUAAUUUGCGGGUACUAAAUGUCAGUUCUGGAAUUAUUUCAGUUUGAAUUAUUAUGAAGUAUGCUCUGUUCUUUUUAUUAUUUUUUUUUAUUUUCCAAAUAAUUUAUAAAAGACCACAAUUGGUUGACUCAAAAUGUGCAAACACAGUUAAUGGUUAUGAUACCACAUUUACAAAAUACCGUAUCUGACAUUAAUCAGACUUUACAGUCUGUUCGUCAAGGUAUCAUUUUCCGUAGUUCUCUAGGUCAGAUGGACCAGUCUGAAAACGCUCGGAGUUCUACAAGACUUCACUGCAUCCAGGAAAACAGCAAUGGAAAGUCGGGCUAGAAGAAUGGAGUGAUUUGAACUGGUCAUCGGUUGUAUUGGUGAUGACAACGUCAAGGUCAGUCUGUGUGUCUAUCAAGACCCUUUGAGUCAGCUGGAGAACCCAGUCACUGGUGAAGCAGAAGUGUCCGUAUCACGACGUUUUUCAGUACUGAUCCAGAAGUGAGAAAGCCCUGCAUGAAUCACUAUAUUCUCCUAAAAUCCUGCAGCAAGUAGAGUAUAUUAAAAAAAAAAAAUCACAAGUUUCUAAACUCAGAUUUUGCAUACAAUGAAAUGGCAGGGCUAUCUUCCAUAUGUCUGGAAGGUGGUGUCUGCUUGGAAGCAGGAUAAUCUUAGGACCUGAUUUCCAGAUAAACUAUGCAUGGAAAAUGUGAGUCUGUUGAGCAUCUAACUUUUGUGUGACUUAGAAUGAUUAUUUCUGUGUGCAGGUACCUGACGUUGCAACUGAUAGCGUUCUAAGGCUGUAUAUAAAUGACAAGCAAAGUUAUGUGUCUGUACAUAAACCUUUAACAUGGUUUCUGUUCGUCGCUAUGAUGAAAAUGUUUUGGCUAAUGUGGUGGUUUUUGCCUCAGAUAACUCUGUUAUUGUUUUGGAUAUUUAAAAGCUCAUUAUUAAAACUUAAAGGUCCAAUAACUGAACUGAGUAAAAUAGCAC